UUCCCUAAAAUUCCAAUAUAAAUAAAUCAAUUUCUAAAUAAUUUGUUUAGAGGCGUCCACGAAGAAAUUGCAUCUCGAAAAUCCUAAAUUGCGAACUGUUUUCAAGGACUAUCCAGUAAUGGCAAAAGAAAACAAAUGUGUACCUAAAAUGGAAUUUGCAUCAUUCAUAGGUUAAACGCCAGUCGUCAGAAUAAGUUAAGUUUAUGAUAUAGUUUUACAAUAUAUUUAAAUAUUUAGAAUUCACAUUUAUAUAAGUAACAUAAUAAUAUUCCGUGUUUGUGUGUUUGGUGGUUGAAUUGAAAAAACAUUUAUUUUGUAUAACUGUUCAAAAAUUAUCGCUACUUAAAGCUAACUCAGCAACCGUUCGACAAGGUGUAAAAUACAAAGUAUUUAUUAAUUGAUAAACAAUAUUACAAAAACUUAACACUAUUUCGAAUAUUGCUGGAAUAUUGAAAUGUAGACCGUAUCGAGUUUCUCGAGGAUGUUGCAGCACUUAUAGUAUGUUAGCAACUGCUAUGUCAUUUAUAUGCAUAUACAUACAUAUUUAUUGCGGCACUAAAAGAGAGAACAACAGAUAAUUCUUUAUUAAUUUGCAUAUAUUGACAUAAACAUUAGAAAGUAGUAAAACAUAAAUUUUUGUUUAUAAAGUGUAAAUGUAGAUGUACUAUUUGACAUUAUUUCCUUGAAUUUAGAAGUGAAACUUGAUAAAAUCAAUUUUUGAGCUGUAUAAAUUA